CAACAUAUAAUAGGAUAAUACCACAGGACUGGCGGGACCUUGCACAAGGUGUUCUGGAACCCAGCCAGAGACUUCAAUUUCUGACUUGGUUUAAGGAGGAGGCUAAAAAUAUAGAAAAACAAUGGAGGGAUAAAGGAAUACAAGUUUGCCAGGAUCAGCUUAUGGGAGAAGGUCAAUAUGCUUCAGCACAAACACACAUUGUGUUUAUUGAUCUCCAAACCUUAUUUUUAUGU